UCGGCACAUGUAUUAGAAAUGAGGUAAGAACUUCAUACCUGAAAUUGAAUCUGGUUUCUUUUUAAUGUAAAACUGAUAUGCUGUGACAAAAGUCAGACAGCUUUUACAACACAUAACAGAAGUGGUUGUUAUCCUCAAUGUAGGAAAACAAAGCAACGAACAAGUAAUAUCGGUAAAUAAUUUCCUUAUUGCCGUAGUCUGUAGCUGUUUUCUUGAAUACCAGAAAAUUUUACCUGCACAACUUUGGAU
rnacentral:lncRNA from 1 species